UGAAUCUCAGUGUUAUGUAAGAAGAAAACAUUUUUUUUUUUUACAUUUGGAUUGCUGAAUCAGCUUUGUUAGCAUAGCCUAUUCAUAUGCAUCAUGCAAGUUUCCUUGAUGGCAGAUAUUCAUUUGCAUUUUUAUUAGAAUAAUUUUAGAAUUGCUUUAGUCAAACGAAAGAAAGCUUAGAGAAAGGAGCUCCUAAGAAAACUUGCAGUGGUUGGAAUUUCUCAACAGAUAUGCUGAUGACUGAAAUCAAUUGGAUCAGCUGAAAACAUAUGUUGAGACAUCUAUGCAACAUUGUACUUGGAUAUGUGUCAUUCCACUGGUAGUGGCUAAAGAAUCAAACUUGGAAUCGCGUGUCUUCAACCAACUCACCUCAUCUAGGCCUGACCAGUAUCGGACCGAAGAAAGUAGUCAACUAGUCACACGUCAGAUAACAAAUCUUGCUAAAUAAACCAUAUGAUAAGGAAGUGAACUCAAUCAUUCGAACGUGAGUCUAAUGGUCUAAUGAAAAAUAAGGAUUCAUUUGGUUACCGACUUGACCUGCAAGAGGAUUUUAGCCAUAUCGGAUAUCGGAAAGGAACACCUUUACCGAACAUAAUGUUCUUCUAACGUAAAUUAUUGGAUGCUCAUUCUAUGUCGGAUUCAGAUUUCAUUUAGAAAUCCUGGUAGAAGCUUUUAAUUUAUAAGACCAUAGAAGGAUUGCACACACUAAUGUUUUAAAGUUAAUAAACGUUAUAAAUGGAAAAUGGGGUUUCAGAAUGAGGCGAGAGUUUUUGUCAAUGCUGAAGUUUGGAAACACGAUCGGAAAUACCCAUGAAAUGAAAAACAUUCUCUCACGUUAUGGUAUUUGUCGUACAUAAAUUGAAGUGCAUAUCUGGGCUCCCUUCUUUUCUGUGGCCCCGUUUCCCCUUGA